UAGAUAGAUAGAUAGAUAGAUAGAUAGAUAGAUAGAUAUUUAAAAUGGAUGCCUCAAAACCUGGAUGACAUUUCAGGGAUUUUCAUUCUAAAUACUUAAAUUGAUUUGAAUCAAAAGUAGAACUUUAUGAGAAUAAAGUGAAACCCAGACAGUUGGGUAAUCGGUUGACCUGCAUUCACUUCCUUUCCCAAUGCUUGUCAGUCACAGAGCCAAGCCAUAAAGGAGAUCAGCUGUAUCCAGCUCUAAUUCAGACCAGAAACCAUGACAUUCCUGCUUCAGAACCAGAUGGGCCUGGGUCACACAAGAGGAGGGGCAGAUUGAGUAGGAGAAAGAGCCUGUCUGUGUAAAAUCCAGUCACUGACCUCCAAACCCAUCAAAUUCUAUAGGAUGAGCAAGCUAUGAGGAGCAUGCCAGUAAGCAGUACUCUUCCAUGGCCUCUGCAUCAGCCUCCAGGUUCUUCCAUGGCCUCUGCAUCAGCCUCCAGGUUCUGGCCCUGCUUGAGUCCUGCCCUCGGAUGAACUACUAUAUGGAACUACAUAUGAGCUCUUGUGAGUUGCAGCUUAUUUUCCUCAAUAUGUUAUACCAUCCGAUCUAAAGACCCAGUGGCCUCACCAGAUGAUAUGAAGUUUGGACUUUCCAAUUACCAGAAACGAAUGAAGUGAAUCUCUUUUCUUUAUAAAUUAACUUAGAAUCUGCUAUUAUAGCAAUGAAAAAAAUCAUUCUGGUUGAUAAUUUAUUGUCAGCUUGACAAAAUCCAGUAUUCUGGAAGAGUGAACCUCAAGAGAAGGAUUGACUCAAUCUGACUGAACUUCGACCAUGUUUUUGAGGAGUUAUCUUGAUUGAUGAUUGAUGUGAGGCUCAGCCCAUGUGGAUGACACUGUCCCUAGGAAGGUAGCCCUAGGCUGUAUAGCAAUGCUAACAGUGAAAGACAGAGAGAUGUACCAAGAAGAAGCACUCUUCCAUGUUUCUGCUUUAGUUCCUGAGUGAGCUCCCGCCCAGAUUUCCCUCAGUGACAGAUUGUGACCAAAGUGGAAUGAGGUGUGUUACCUCUCAUGUACUAAGAGGAAGCACAAAGUAUGUAUGUGUGGCAUGCCUUCCUGAAGGUGGCACCUGAAGAGUUCUGCCUCCUGGUAUUUGUGCUUGUGUUCGUUCCUUCUCCCUGGAACAACGAGGGAUAAAUUUAUUCAUUUGCUUCUGAAAAAAAAAAUGCGGCAUAGGUAAUGGAAUGCCUCUUAUAUUAGCA
ensembl:lincRNA